rnacentral:rRNA from 1 species
GGAAUCUUGCGCAAUGGGCGAAAGCCUGACGCAGCAACGCCGCGUGCGGGAAGAAGGCUUUCGGGCUGUAAACCGCUUUCAGCAGGAACGAAAAUGACGGUACCUGCAGAAGAAGGAGCGGCCAACUAUGUGCCAGCAGCCGCGGUGAUACAUAGGCUUCAAGCGUUGUCCGGAUUUAUUGGGCGUAAAGAGUUCGUAGGCGGUCGAGUAAGUCGGGUGUGAAAAUUCUGGGCUCAACCCAGAAACGCCACCCGAUACUGCUUAACUUGAGUUCGAUAGGGGAGUGGGGAAUUCCUAGUGUAGCGGUGAAAUGCGCAGAUAUUAGGGGGAACACCGGUGGCGAAGGCGCCACUCUGGAUCGAUACUGACGCUGAGGAACGAAAGCAUGGGUAGCAAACAGGAUUAGAUACCCUGGUAGUCCAUGCCGUAAACGGUGGGCACUAGGUGUGGGAUUCUAUUAACGAAUUCCGCGCCGUCGCUAACGCAUUAAGUGCCCCGCCUGGGGAGUACGGUCGCAAGACUAAAACUCAAAUGAAUUGACGG